rnacentral:rRNA from 1 species
UACGUAGGUGGCAAGCGUUGUCCGGAUUUACUGGGCGUAAAAGGGCGUGCAGGCGGCCCGUUUAAGUGCAUGGUGAAAGCCCCCGGCUCAACUGGGGAGGGUCACUCGAUACUGAUCGACUUGAAGGCAGGAGAGGGAAGCGGAAUUCCCGGUGUAGUGGUGAAAUGCGUAGAUAUCGGGAGGAACACCAGUGGCGAAGGCGGCUUCCUGGCCUGUUCUUGACGCUGAGGCGCGAAAGCUAGGGGAGCAAACGGG